UUAGUUAUAUUUUCUUUCCUCUGUAAUUACACUUUUAUGAAAGCAAAGAUACUGUUAGAUUGUUCUCCCAUUUCCUAUAUAUGUUGAAAAUUAUGGACUCCAAAACCAUUUACAAUUUCUCUUGUCUUAUAAAAUGGCUUGUUCAGAACCAUUUAUUUUUAACUAAUAUGUAUGAAAUGACAGCUGCCAAGAUUCAAAAGGCAGUAGUUUUACCAUCGAGCAUAACCUCUGCAUAUUAAUUAAUAGCUAUCUAAGGGGAAAAUGUUUGCUUUAGUACACUAAGGAAUCUUUAAUUCAGCAGUAAUGAUUUAAAGGAUAUUUGCAUUAAUAAUUAAUUGAGAUACACAAGUAACAUAUUAAAAGCACUGGCCUUCUCCAAAAUACUGUAAUUAUUUUAGUUUCUAAAAUCUAGCUAUAAUUACACAAAUUUUAGUUGUGGAAUACAGUUCUUUUUUUGUAUUUAAUGGACACUAGAUUGGCUAAAAUGUGAACCCAAAAGGAGGAAUGAUUUAAAGAAGUAAUAUCAAUUUUAAUUUUGAAGUUUAUAGAAACUGUGGCACACUUAAAAUUGUCCAAUUUUAUAAAAGAAGCUGCAUUUUCAUAUUCUGUUUUUAGGGCUAGGAAGUUAUAAACCAUGUAAAUGCAAAAUAGCUUUGAGAAAGGUGAAAGUCAGUGCUAACUAUUGCUUAUAGGAAAAUUCUUUUUUUUUUGGAAUGGCUAGUAAUUAA